ACAUUUUAAUCAAGUGAGCAAUUAAAUUAAUAAUUUAAAUGUUGUUCGAAAACAACUAUUAGUAACCUAGCAGUUGCAGGCUACAGAUAUUGUGUUAAGACCAGAAAACAGGGCAGAGAUGCAGAACUUGUAUACUGGAAAUGUACAGAAAUGGACUGCCCUGGCACCGUCAACACCACAGAUAAUCUAGUUACCAGAUUUCCAAGAGACCACAAGCACUAACCAUCACAUGCAGAUAUCAAAAC
rnacentral:lncRNA from 1 species